rnacentral:lncRNA from 1 species
AAAGAACAGAGUGACACAAUGACAUAGAUCGAGUGGCAUUUGAAAACGUAAAGUAAAGUGACACUAGAGUUAGUGUGAGCCAAAGAAUCAAAGUGAUGUAAAGAAUGAUGAAAAUGACAAUGUGCAAAGUUAAAGUAAAAUGGGGCAAUAAGAACGAGAAAUGUAAAGAACAAGAAUGCUAAAGGUGGCAAAAGUAAAAGAAAAGUAAAGAACAACGAUUGCAUGAGUUUGCAAUAUAAAGUGAUGUAAUGAACACUAGAGCUAGUGUAAAGUCAAGAUU